ACAUAAAUCGUCCAUUCAUAGAAUGGACCGAAAGUGGACAAAGCCACUAGUUCGAAUGGUCCGUUCAUUUUCGUAAGCGUCAAACAUAGAAACUUUCAAAGAGUCGAAGCUCGAAGGUUAGGGUUCAGCGCCUCUGCACCUCCAUCGUUCCAUCCUCAGUAUCACCGGCAGACGGCGGUAUUUCGUUUGAAGCUUUGGACGAACUCCGGCCGUAUUUCCCUUUCUCCGUCGAUCUUCCUUUUACCCUCUCACUUUCUCCAACAACAGAGCUUCUUCUUCUCUCAGCGCCUCCUCACCUUCUCUAGUGACAGCAGUACAACACUCUCUCUUCUCUCAAUGCCCUCUCACUUUCUCCAGCGGCAACAACACUCCCUCUUCACUCAGGCAAUCAUAUUUUGGUGAUUUUUUUCUCUUGCAUCUUGCUCUCAAGUGAUAGUCUCAUCUGACCUCUACGAUUUGUUCAUUGAGGUAUUUGCUCAACCUCUAUUCAGGUUUGUGGAAAACCGGUGCAUCACCCACUGACUGGCAAAUGGAUCCAUAACAUCGGAACAUGUCGUAAGAAUUCCUUUAAUGGAAAAUACUACAUCAACUUCUUUCGGGUGGUUUGGAGAAUGGUUUAUGUGGUUUCAGAAUUUUUAUUCUCUGGUUGCAGCUGUUCAUCCAUCCUCUUGAUGGUACUUGAUCAAAUGGCUAAGUUGGUGAAGUCCACCAAGUGUUGCACCAGGAAUAUGGUCCUGCUAAUAUGAACAAUUUCUUUAGGAAAUGAUAUUUUUUUUGGUGUUUGAUUGCAGAUGGAGAUGGAAACCAUUUUGUUUAUUUUCUGAGGAAUUAGGGAAAUAGUUAAUUCCUUAUUGAGUAUUAUUUUCGGAGGAAAACAUUUUGUUUCCCUUCAUCAUUUUAGUUGUAACCAAAACUGGAAUAGUGUAACUCAUUGUUUGCUGAUUCAGAAAGGAGAAUUUUCUCAGUGAAGUAAUUCACAAUCA